GAUAAAUGUGAAUGUAAAAUGGAUUCAAUUAAUGUACUUGAAGAAACAAAUCUUUCGCUCUUUCCCUACACCCAGUGAGCUGUCUGAAGAUUCUAGUGCCUUGCAUUAUUUUUGUGUUUUUGUUUUUUGGAGUUGGGGUUGAUGUUAGACAGCGGAGAGUCUCAAGCAUGGCACUUGGUUGGAGUGCUGGUCUUUGGACUUCACAGAGGGUGAAAAUUAAUAUAUUGCAGAAAUGAGGUGCUGUUUUGGAUGAAACCGUUUCAGAUACUUUGUCAAUCUACCUUAGUGUGCAAGUAUGGAUUCUUAAAAAGGUGUGAACGGUUCUUGUGAAGGUGAAGGAUCGGCUCAGAUAGAAGUGCAGGACGAGGAAAGUUAGUAUGCAUGGGAUAGUAUGUUGUAAGUAUUUCAAAACCACCAGUAGCUUAGAUGUUUUUCCAGCACUGCUUACUUGGGUUUGACACCAUCCAGUGUCAAACCCUCUCUGGUGUGCGUAGAGAGACACGUUUUAGCAACAGAUGUGAAGGAAAGUGUAACUUCAUGAGCGAGAAAAGGACCAGAAAGGUGGGAAAAGACAGUUAGCAACCCUCACAGAUACAAGAACGCUACUCUCUGCCAACAGCACUGUUGAAGACUAAUUCUCGCUGGUUUCUCAUCAAUCCGCUUCUUUUGAACUCUCACUGCCCAUGUAAGUUCUCAAGUCACUGUACUGGCAACGGCCUUUGGUUUUAUGGCAGAUCAGUAGCUUCAUUUUAGGGGAUGUCAACUCUCUCUUUUUGUAGCAGUCAGUCAGAUCACUCUUGUAAAUGCUUUGGUUUAUUCAAAAUACUAGACCUGCAGUGUCAAACUCACUUUUAUGAAUAGAUGAAUAGUGAACAGUGCUGAUCCACCAGAAACAAAUGUACAGAUCCUUAGAGCAUUUUAUUUGGGGUACAAAAACGUAGUGGAGAUGCUCUCAUUAAAUUAACUAAUGAAAGGACGUAGAUUACAACUCGUUACAUACUGCUUAGUGUGCCGUCUGCGUGAAACGUCUGGUACAGGAACUUCACUUUAGGUCAACUGUACAGUUUAGAUUCUCAACUGGAUCUCUAUAUUUAAAAUACGAUCGUUUUACCUUUAUCUCUUGCUUUGUACACAAUGCUUUACCCGUAGACAGCUAGUUUUUACCCACUUUGCCGUUUGGUUCGUUCAAACUGUGAACACAUCAGAAGGUCUUUAACAAAGAGGUCCAACCUGCUCAGAGUUCAGACUAAUGAAAUCUGUGUAAUGCUACCUUCUGAGUGCCAUGUCCCUGUUCUAGAUAUGAUGCAAGUGUUAAUUUGCUCUCGCUUUAAGAAACAGGUCCCCCUGUUUGACUGUAGAGGGCGCUAAUGUAACUGCAGUGCAGGAUAUACAACAAAAUGAGAUUUACCUCUGACCUCUGAUGUAAAUGAUACAGCACCUUCGAAAAUGUAAAAAAAACAAAAAAAAAACAUUUUUCUUUAUCAUUCACUUUGUAUUAUUUUUUUUUAAAUGCGUUUGUAGCGUGCUGAUGUGCGUACCAGCCAUUCAGUAUCGAUAGACAUUCGGUUUGAUGAAACUUUUUUUUUUUUUUUUUUUUUGCAUGAGACUAGUUACAGAGAUUAAAAUGCACACACACUCACUCAAAAAGUAUCUUAUUGAAUGAAUCCCUCCUUACUAGUCGCUCUCCUGUGGAAAGAAAUACAACAGAACAAUGUUUACUUAAUGCUACUGACCUGUCAUUAAGUUAUUUUGUUUUGUACUGCUAUCUGAUCCGCUUGUUUUGCUGUCUUUUAAGUUUCUAGAUUUCCUCUGGCGACUUUCAUUCAGUGUUUUUUUUUUUCUCUCCAUAUGACAUUUAACAUUGUGCAAAAUGUUAAAAGAGUUACUUCAAAUGAAAACCAAACAAAAACAUGUAGGGAAUCAUCGGCAAUGUUUAACUGUAUGUUUUGCACUAAGUAUAGGAUGUUCAAGCUUCAUAUAAAACUGCGCUUUGCGCUCCAAUAAAACAGCAUUUGUUACCCUAUUUGUAAACUUAAUAAAAGUCAUUUCAAUAAAUU
ensembl:lncRNA